rnacentral:rRNA from 1 species
GACGAACCGAGCGAACGUUGUUCGGAAUCACUGGGCUUAAAGGGUGCGUAGGCGGGCUGCCAAGUUCGGGGUGAAAUCCUCCGGCUCAACCGGGGAAGUGCCUCGAAUACUGGCGGUCUGGAGGGAGGUAGGGGCGUGCGGAACUAACGGUGGAGCGGUGAAAUGCGUUGAUAUCGUUAGGAACUCCGGUGGCGAAGGCGGCACGCUAGACCGGUAUUGACGCUGAGGCGCGAAAGCUAGGGGAGCAAACAGG